AUGUCGCCAAGAAAGACGAUCCUCGUCGCGUUCUUGCUCCUGGUGGCUAUGUCGACCACCGUGCUGACUUCCGUCGACGCCGCAAGGAGGCUGGGGCUUGAGCCGGAGGAGCAGUACAGCGCGACCGUCCCCGCGACGUCGGCGAGGCUUCACGAGAGGGCGAGGUCGCUGAUCACGACGUGGAUGGCGCAGCUCACGGCAGGGCCGAGCCCUAGAGGCCCUGGGCACUAA
rnacentral:rRNA from 1 species